GGGGAUUUAGCUCAGUGGCAUAAGUGCCUGCCUUGCAAGCAGGAAGUUCAUGAGCUCGAUCCCCG
rnacentral:tRNA from 1 species